rnacentral:rRNA from 1 species
CAGUAGCCACGGGAAUACGGAGGGUGCAAGCGUUAAUCGGAAUUACUGGGCGUAAAGCGCACGCAGGCGGUCUGUCAAGUCGGAUGUGAAAUCCCCGGGCUCAACCUGGGAACUGCAUUCGAAACUGGCAGGCUAGAGUCUUGUAGAGGGGGAUAGAAUUCCAGGUGUAGCGGUGAAAUGCGUAGAGAUCUGGAGGAAUACCGGUGGCGAAGGCGGCCCCCUGGACAAAGACUGACGCUCAGGUGCGAAAGCGUGGGGAGCAAACAGGAUUAGAUACCCCUGUAGUCCCUGUCUCUUAUAC